rnacentral:rRNA from 1 species
AGGACAAACGCUGGCGGAAUGUAUUAGGCAUGCAAGUCGCACGAACCUUCGGGUUAGUGGCGGACGGGUGAGUAACACGUGGGUAACCUGCCUCGUAGUGGGGAAUAACUCGUCGAAAGGCGAGCUAAUACCGCAUAACACCCUCGGUGAGAUUCCGGGUGGUAAAAGCUCUGGCGCUACGAGAGGGGCCCGCGGCCGAUUAGCUUGUUGGUGGGGUAAUAGCCUACCAAGGCGACGAUCGGUAGCUGGUCUGAGAGGAUGGUCAGCCACACGGGGACUGAGAUACGGCCCCGACUCCUACGGGAGGCAGCAGCUAAGAUCUUGCGCAAUGGGCGAAAGCCUGACGCAGCAAUUCCGCGUGGGGGACGAAGGCCCUCGGGUCGUAAACCCCUUUUGUGAAGGAAGAAGUUCUGACGGUACUUCACGAAUAAGACACGGCUAACUACGUGCCAGCAGCCGC